rnacentral:rRNA from 1 species
UACGAACUGUGCAAACGUUAUUCGGAAUCACUGGGCUUACAGGGUGCGUAGGCGGCGUGGUAAGUAGGGUGUGAAAGCCCUCGGCUCAACCGAGGAAUUGCGCUCUAAACUACCGUGCUAGAGGAAGCUAGAGGUGAGCGGAACUGAUGGUGGAGCGGUGAAAUGCGUUGAUAUCAUCAGGAACACCGGAGGCGAAGGCGGCUCACUGGGGCUUUUCUGACGCUGAGGAACGAAAGCCAGGGUAGCGAACGGG